GUUGGAGACAAGGGUAGGAUUUAAGCAUCUGUUGGAAAAAGCAGAAGAAUUAGAAGAAAACUUCCUGGAGAAUCAAGUCAUUAUGCCCUUCUUGGAGCAAAAGCUCAGGAGUGGCAUUCAUCUAUGGAAAUAAAGACUAAGAAAUGCAUGUAAUCUGUACCAGUCAAGCAGCUGGAGAGAAAUAGGGUCUUAAUUCCCACUUUUGGUCCCUCCAGAGGAGUGGUUUUCUCCUCCGAAACUGCUUUAACUCCGUCUUUGUUGAAGCCACACCAGCCUUUGUCUCUGAGUUCCAGAGAGCCUAUUUCCCUCUGAGUUUAUUUACUCUCUCCUCUUCUGCUGCCCACAUGGCGUUUUCCUUUACUUACAGGAGUCCUAAAGACCUGAAACAGCAGCAGGCAGAUUAAAAAUUAAUAAGAGUCUCAGAGGGAGAGUACCAAGAUGCAGUUGGCUCUGUGAUCGGCAAUUUUUUGAGGUUCUUUAAAUACCCAAUUAUUUUCAAGACACCUACGGAACAGAAACUAUAGGACAUGAGAAAUAGAUUUUCAGGCCAGAGGGAAUACAUUUUUAAGCAAAAUUCUUUUAACUUGAAGAAGAGAAGAAUUAUGUCUAUGAUGCUGCUCUUCAUUGCCAACCUCUCUUCCCCAAAUCUCCACCUAUUUUUUUUCUCUUUUAUAGUUUGAGGUGACUGGCCCAGCAGGAGUGAGAAGAAUUUAUCUUCAGCAUAAACUUCAUUAUUCUACAGUGUUUCUUCAUUUGCCUGAGAGGCUCCAGGUUACGUACAGCUGGGACUGCUGCUACCUGAUUGCAAGAAUUAUAUAAGACCAAGAUAAUGAAGGCUAGAUUUAAAAAACAUAAAGCCUAAACCUGUGUGUGCUAUGGUAAAAACCUGCAUUCCAUGAGGCAAAGCUUGAGUGGAUAAUGGACAUCUUUCAUAUUCUCCGGCUCAAUGAAUUGAAGCAUUCUCAUCUUUUGAAUCCCUCUACUCCAAAGAAGAAGCCAGUCUUGUCCGGGACCCAGCCCAGUACCCAAGGCUCAACUCCACAUCACUUCCAGGUUCCUGGAAACCAAAGUGAAAAGGGAAACAAUCAGCUACAAGAAACAGUAUUGCACCGUGGUUACAAGAGCAGGCUUUGGCGUAAGACAGCUACUUCCUGACUGCAAGACCUCAGCUGACACAAGGAGGACCAGUGGGUACUGCAAAGAGGCCAGCUCCAGCCCCAGCCCAACAUGGGAAGCAGCUCAGUGCAUCAGUAAGGGAGCAACAUGAAAACACCUCUCAGAUCUUCUGGUUCUGCUGCUUACCUGCUGUGUGUCCUUGAACGAGCUACUUUUCCUGUCUUCUGUGUGAGUACUAGCUCAGAUAAUGGAUUUAAAAAUGAGUUCUAACCAGUUAAGUGCCAAGCAAAUAUUACAGCAAAGACUAUUCAUAUUUGUUCCUCAAUAUCAUUUUCCCAUUUUACUAUCGCUGAAAACAUGGCUGUUUAGCAUAAAGACUACAUUUCCCAGACUCCCUUGCAGUUAAAUGUAGUCAUGUG
rnacentral:lncRNA from 1 species